UUCCGGUUGAUCCUGCCGGAGGCCAUUGCUAUCGGUGUCCGACUUAGCCAUGCGAGUUGUACGUAUAACGUAGCAAACUGCUCAGUAACACGUGGCCAAACUGCCCUAUGGACUGGGAUAACCUCGGGAAACUGAGGCUAAUCCCGGAUAGUACAUCCAUCCUGGAAAUGGGGGAUGUGUGAAAUGCUCCGGCGCCAUAGGAUGUGGCUGCGGCCGAUUAGGUAGACGGUGGGGUAACGGCCCACCGUGCCGAUAAUCGGUAUGGGUCAUGAGAGUGAGAACCCGGAGACGGACUCUGAGACACGAGUCCGGGCCCUACGGGGCGCAGCAGGCGCGAAACCUUUACACUGCACGCCAGUGCGAUAGGGGGACACCGAGUGCGAGGGCAUAGAGCCCUCGCUUUUGUAGACCGUAAGGAGGUCUACGAAUAAGGGCUGGGCAAGACCGGUGCCAGCCGCCGCGGUAACACCGGCAGCCCAAGUGAUGGCCGAUAUUAUUGGGCCUAAAGCGUCCGUAGCUGGCCGCGCAAGUUCGUCGGGAAAUCCACUCGCUUAACGAGUGGGCGUCCGGCGAAAACUGUGCGGCUUGGGACCGGAAGAUCCAAGGGGUACGUCCGGGGUAGGAGUGAAAUCCUGUAAUCCUGGACGGACCACCGAUGGCGAAAGCACCUUGGAAGGACGGAUCCGACAGUGAGGGACGAAAGCUAGGGUCUCGAACCGGAUUAGAUACCCGGGUAGUCCUAGCCGUAAACGAUGCUCGCUAGGUGUGGCGCAGGCUACGAGCCUGCGCUGUGCCGUAGGGAAGCCGUGAAGCGAGCCGCCUGGGAAGUACGUCUGCAAGGAUGAAACUUAAAGGAAUUGGCGGGGGAGCAC
rnacentral:rRNA from 1 species